GCCGCGCCACCCCUAAAGACGCUAGUGCUGCGAUGGCGGAGGCCGUGGAGCGCACUGACGAGCUGGUCCGGGAGUACCUGCUCUUCCGCGGGUUCACGCACACACUGCGGCAGCUCGACGCCGAGAUCAAGGCGGACAAGGAGAAGGGGUUCCGGGUGGAUAAGAUUGUGGACCAGCUGCAGCAGUUAAUGCAGGUGUAUGAUUUGGCUGCCCUUCGGGAUUAUUGGAGCUACUUGGAGCGUCGGCUCUUCAGCCGCUUGGAGGAUAUAUACAGACCCACAAUCCACAAGCUGAAAACCAGCCUGUUUCGCUUUUAUCUUGUCUACACAAUCCAGACAAACAGAAAUGACAAGGCUCAGGAGUUCUUUGCAAAGCAGGCCACGGAACUGCAGAACCAGGCUGAGUGGAAGGAUUGGUUUGUCCUGCCCUUCCUGCCAUCCCCGGACACCAACCCCACCUUUGCUACCUACUUUUCUCGACAGUGGGCUGACACCUUCAUUGUGUCCCUGCACAACUUCCUGAGCGUCCUGUUUCAGUGCAUGCCAGUUCCUGUGAUCCUGAACUUUGAUGCGGAGUGUCAGAGGACUAACCAGGUUCAAGAAGAAAAUGAAGUUCUGCGUCAGAAGCUUUUUGCAUUGCAAGCUGAAAUCCACCGACUGAAGAAAGAGGAGCAACAGCCAGAAGAGGAAGAGGCCUUGGUCCAACACAAAUUGCCUCCUUAUGUCUCCAACAUGGACCGCCUGGGGGACUCAGAACUUGCCAUGGUGUGCAGCCAAAGGAAUGCCUCCCUCUCCCAGUCACCUCGUGUGGGCUUCCUGUCCUCGCUGCUGCCUCAGAGUAAGAAGAGCCCCUCAAGGUUGUCACCUGCUCAGGGCCCUCCUCAAGCUCAGAGCUCGGCCAAGAAAGAGUCCUUCGGUGGUCAGGGCACCAAGGGAAAGGACCCGACGUCCGGAGCCAAGGAUGGGAAGGGCCUCCUCAGCGGGCUGGCCACUGGGGAGUCCGGUUGGUCACAGCACCGGCAGCGGCGCCUGCAGGACCAUGGCAAGGAAAGGAAGGAGCUUUUCUCCACAACCACUUCCCAGGUAUGGGGUUGUCCUGAACACCCCUGAGGACACUCAUGCAGCUACUGAGGAGCACUGUGGAGGGCCUUCUCUUCUCUCUCUUCUGAGUUCUGCUGCUGUGCAGAGUGUGCUUUUGCCUAAUUGGUUUCAAUGGCUUGUAUUUUGGUUAUUUGGGUUCAUCAUUUGCCUGGCUCUUCUGUGGUCCAUUUCUCCCAUGCAGCAUUUCCCUAAGUAGGGGCCAGAAAAUGCAGGCCUCUGGAAGUGCUCUCAGAAGAUGACUUCUGUGGUUAAGCUGGCUUGGGAACCUUUGCAUACUCAUCCUUCCCUUAGGUUAAUUGUGCUAAGCAGCCUGUCGUGGGCUCCUGGAGACCUGGUUCCCUCGGUUUCACCCAGUCACCCAGACUUGCUUGGUCACAGGAUUCCUUUCUCCUGUGCUGCCUGAGGCCCAGCUGCCUGUAUUGCUGCACUGAGGGCCAUGUGCCCACACAAUGGGGGGCUGUGGCCCAGGCCCUUCUGUACUGAGCCCUGGGCUCUGGGGACUCCCCUCACUGGCCAGUGUGGGCCACAGCCUGCUCUUUGUGGCAUUACAGCUGCUUCUGUUUCUGCCAGAUACUCCCAACUGAUGGCAAAGUCUAAGGUAUUUACUGGUUCUCUUGCCCAAGUCACCAUCUUGACCAUUUAUCUCAUAAUUGGGGCUAUUUGCCUGUUUUAAAGGUAUUUCCUCAUUAACAGCCUGGUACUGUGGUGACAACAGACCCCUAAGGCUCAGAUCAUAAGUUCUGGCAUUUCAGGAUUCAAGAUGCACUUGGGGGCCAGCCACAGCCCCAUAAUGUCUGAAGUUCCUCUGUUAUUUUAUUGUUGAACUCCUCCUCCUGCCUCUCUGAGGAAGCACUUGCAGGAGCAUCUGGACCCCAGGGCUAGUAGAGAGUGCCCUGGCCGAUGCCCCCAGCCUGGAUUGUGUCUAGUGUGCAGAGAAGAAACCAGAAGCCAGUGGCCCAGAGGCUGAGCCCUGCCCAGAGCUCCACACGGAGCCAGUGGAGCCACUGACUCGGACAUCCUCGGCAGGCCCUGAGGGUGGAGGAGUCCGCCCCGAGCAGCCCUUUAUUGUGCUGGGACAGGAGGAGUAUGGGGAACACCACUCGUCCAUCAUGCACUGCAGAGUGGAUUGCUCUGGGAGGAGAGUCGCCAGCUUAGACGUAGAUGGGGUCAUCAAAGUGUGGUCCUUCAACCCCAUCAUGCAGACCAAAGCGUCCUCCAUUUCCAAAUCUCCGCUGCUAUCUUUGGAAUGGGCCACCAAACGGGACAGACUGCUCUUGCUGGGCAGUGGUGUGGGAACGGUGCGUCUCUAUGACACGGAAGCCAAGAAGAAUCUCUGUGAAAUCAAUAUCAACGACGACAUGCCCAGAAUCCUGUCUCUUGCGUGCAGCCCCAACGGGGCCUCUUUCGUCUGUUCGGCUGCAGCUCCGAGCCUCACUUCCCAGGUGGACUUCUCAGCACCAGACAUCGGCAGCAAGGGCAUGAACCAGGUUCCUGGCAGGCUGCUGCUGUGGGACACGAAAACCAUGAAGCAGCAGCUCCAGUUCUCCCUGGAUCCAGAACCCAUUGCUAUCAACUGUACAGCCUUCAAUCACAACGGGAACCUGCUGGUCACAGGGGCAGCUGAUGGUGUUAUCCGGCUGUUUGACAUGCAGCAGCACGAGUGCGCGAUGAGCUGGAGGGCCCACUACGGGGAGGUCUACUCUGUGGAGUUCAGCUAUGAUGAGAACACUGUGUACAGCAUCGGCGAGGACGGGAAGUUCAUCCAGUGGAACAUCCACAAGAGCGGCCUCAAGGUAUCCGAGUACAGCCUCCCCUCAGACGCCACAGGCCCCUUUGUGCUGUCUGGAUACAGCGGCUACAAGCAGGUUCAAGUCCCCAGAGGCCGACUGUUCGCUUUUGACUCGGAGGGCAAUUACAUGCUGACAUGUUCUGCCACAGGUGGCGUCAUCUACAAGCUGGGUGGCGAUGAGAAGGUUCUGGAGAGCUGCUUGAGCCUGGGUGGCCACCGAGCCCCUGUGGUCACCGUGGACUGGAGCACUGCCAUGGACUGUGGGACCUGCCUUACCGCCUCCAUGGAUGGCAAGAUCAAGCUGACCACCCUCCUGGCCCAUAAAGCCUGAUGACCUGCCCCAAGGGGCACCCGAGGAAGCAGUAUUAUCUGGGGUGGGGGGAGGAGAUUUAGGACGGGAAAACCAGGUGCUCCACUCCAGCUCCCUGCCAGUGCAGUGACUCUGCAGGGAAAGACUGGCAAGGAGGCUCAGGCACUUCCAUCUGCGGUGACUGGAAUGGGACCCACGUGGAGUAGGUGGCAUAUGCUUCCCAGAGACUGGUAUUGUGGCUUUGCCAGGAGUACACGUGAGAUUAUGGGAGGAAAGCUCCGGAAGAAGGAGAAACAUUGCGGUGGCUACUGUGUUGGCCCAGUAGAAAUUGACAGUAUUUUGUAUAUAUGUGCCCAUUUUUCUUUUUCUUUUUUAAAAAAAGAGAAUACU
rnacentral:sRNA from 1 species